AAGAUCUAUGUAAUAACCACAUGAGUUGAUGUGCCAAUUUUAUGAGGGUCCAACUCCUACCUGAAGAACUAUGAGCAAUCAGUAUACUCCUAAAAGAGGGAUAGCAAAUUUUUCUCCAGAGAUGAACUAUAUAGGUUAUUCACUUCCAAUGGUUAGUUCUAUACUUAUGGCAUAAGUGCUGGAGAUGAGGGCACUGGAAGCCCUGCCCAAGUGUGGUGCGUGAGAACGUUAAUAGACCUUCUCUUAGACAAACCACUGUUUGCAAAGCCUGUUUUGGGAUGCUGAGCAUGCUGUGGAUGGUGGGAGAAGAAAUGACAUCUGUCGUGUUCUGUGAGAGCUGCAGUAUGUAGAACAGGGCACCCAAAGGAUCUGCAACCAUGCAAUGAUUUAAAAAAAAUAGUGCAGCGACUCCACAGCAUGAUGCAAAAGCACAGAAAAUGUAGAAGAAGAUGCAGCCCAAACAUUGCCUCUGAUAAUUGGUCAUCUACAUCAUUGUGUAACCUAGAGGUCAAAACGGCUUUGGCAAAGCUCUGUUUUCAAAAAUAUUUACAUAUAAUUCG